UUGCAUGUGGAAAUGUCUGCUCCUCAUUCCACUGGGAACAGAAAUACAUCCAAAGCAUGCUACAUUACAAAAGGAGUUCUCAGGGCUGCCAACCUUACAGUAGAGGUUGGGUAGUAGUAUACUUCUCCGACAUAA